rnacentral:rRNA from 1 species
AUUGAACGCUGGCGGCAUGCCUCACACAUGCAAGUCGAACGAGUGGCGUCCGGGUGAGUAAUGUCUGGGAAACUGCCUGAUGGAGGGGGAUAACUACUGGAACCGGUAGCUAAUACCGCAUAUCAUCGGAUGUGCCCACAUGGGAUUAGCUAGUAGGUGGGGUAAAGGCUCACCUAGGCGACGUUCCCUAGCUGGUCUGAGAGGAUGACCGGCCACACUGGAACUGAGACACGGUCCAGACUCCUACGGGAGGCAGCAGUGGGGAAUAUUGCACAAUGGGCGCAAGCCUGAUGCAGCCAUGCCGCGUGUAUGAAGAAGGCCUUCGGAUUGGAAAGUACUGUCAGCGAGGAGGCGUUACCCGCAGAAGAAGCACCGGCUAACUCCGUGCCAGCAGCCGCGGUAAUAC